AGAGCGAGGGAGGCGGGGUGCGCAGGGCGGCGGCGCAGCAGCGAGCGUGUGCCGCGCGGCCCAGUAACCAGGGACGACCGCGCAGCCCGCGCACCCCGGCCUCCCCACGCCUCGCGCCCUGCGCCCGGGCGCCCCGGCCAGGCCUGUCGCGGGGUGCAGAGGAGCACGCCGAGCCCCGGCCCCGGCGGCGCGCUCACGGCGCAGACAAAGGCGCGGCCCCGGCCCGGCCCAGCCCGGCCCAACCGCUCCCGGGGGGCGCCCUGACCAGCCAGGCCCGGGGGCGGGGGCGCGGCCGCCGAGGAUGGGGAAAUCCAACAGCAAGUUGAAGCCCGAAGUUGUGGAGGAGCUGACCAGGAAAACGUACUUUACCGAGAAGGAGGUGCAGCAGUGGUACAAGGGCUUCAUCAAGGACUGCCCCAGCGGGCAGCUGGAUGCUGCUGGCUUCCAGAAGAUCUACAAGCAGUUCUUCCCCUUCGGAGACCCCACCAAGUUUGCUACGUUUGUCUUCAACGUCUUUGAUGAGAACAAGGACGGGCGGAUCGAGUUCUCCGAGUUCAUCCAGGCGCUCUCGGUGACCUCGCGGGGAACCCUGGAUGAGAAGCUGCGGUGGGCCUUCAAGCUCUACGACUUGGACAACGACGGCUACAUUACCAGGAACGAGAUGCUGGAUAUCGUGGACGCCAUUUACCAGAUGGUGGGAAACACUGUGGAGCUGCCCGAGGAGGAGAACACGCCCGAGAAGAGGGUGGACCGGAUCUUUGCCAUGAUGGACAAGAACGCGGACGGUAAGCUGACGCUGCAGGAGUUCCAGGAAGGCUCCAAGGCGGACCCCUCCAUCGUGCAGGCGCUGUCCCUCUACGACGGGCUGGUAUAGUCCAGGCCAGAGCUGGGCCUCAUGAAGUAGUUUCUGUACUUCAGUUGCCCUCUUCCCGGAAAUACAGAUGCCUGGGGACACUUGCCUGUCCCGUGCCACGAGGCCACCGCAGCCUGACACCACCUCCCGUGCCCACCUGGUCCCCUUCAGUGGCCACACACAUCUGGCCGCCCUUGACCCGCGAGGCCUGGCUCUCCUGCCCCCUGCCCUGUGCCCACCACCACCUGAAGCCACGGGCUCCAGUCGCCAGCCGCCUCCGCUUGUCCAAAACCAGACAGGGCUUGCUGCUGGGCGCGUACUGGCCUCUUCCUCCUGCUGGCCUGCGUACGCUUUGGUUUUUGUUUUUUAUUUCAAAUGGACAUUUUAAAACGAAACAAAACAAAACUACCUUGCGUCCUAGAAGACACUGACUGGUGGGGAGAAGGCCUCGGGACUCAGAGAAUCUGCUGGGCCCGGCCCCCUGGGCUGGGCAAAGCCACAGUGGGGCUGGCAUGGUCGCCAGUGGUGCCCACCCACUAUUUUCCGUGAUAACAGUAUUGUGCAUUUGUGGGGAAAGUGGGGUUUUCUUUCAAUCCUCCUAUGUAACCACAUCCUUUAUUUAUUGGUUGUUCACGUUGCUGCUGUCCCGGUGCCCCGCAUCCCGGGGCCAGGGCCGACGUCGUCCACACCACGCUUGCUUGGCAGGGUUUAGGCCUACAGUGGCCAAGAAGCCAAAAACCACUUUUUUCUCUUCUCUUUCUCUUUUCAAAUACUGUGCUUGGUGUCUGCAGAGGGGCAGGCAGCCCCCCCGACGGCUCAUGGACUGUUCCCCUCCGCCAGGCCCUCUUGAGCCUCUGCCCCACCCCCCUCCUCUGGAUCUGGGAGAUUUUCUUCCUUUUUUAAAUUAAGGAUGAAGAGGCAGCACUUUGCAGCUUCCUCCAGGUAGCCGUGUGGGGAAGGAGCUGUCUGUCUCUGCAGGCCGCUUCACAGGGGUCCAGGAUGCUGUCCUCUCUCUGGGGUGGUGGCCUGAGGGCGAUGACCAUUGUCCCCGCAUCCUCCCAUGCUGCUUUCUGUCUUCCAGCUGUCUUUUGCAGGGACUGCGUGGCGUCCUGCCUGGUGGCUCUGCAUAGGCACUGGAGGAAGUGGGAGAGAAGGUACCCGCCCCUCAGAGCAGAUUCUAGCUCUCCUGCCUCUGAGUCAGGGAUGGCCCCAGAAGUGUCCCCAGGAGCAGCAGAUGACCCUCGUCAGAGGCUGAGCCUGCUCUUGCUUGGUGAAUCGGGUCAUCCCUUGGCCUCUGAGGCCCCCGCUGAGCCACUGAGCAGGCUGGGAGGGAGGCCUGGGAUGGCCAAGCUUGAGGCCCCUUUGCUAGCUUGGCAAUAGAAUUCAGAGCCUGAGAUUCCGCUGCCUGGGUUUGUGGUUCUGUGGCCUGUGGCUGGGUUUUCCAGGCCCCUGCAGAAGUAGGGACUGUCACAUUCACUGCUCAGCCCCGCUGUCUCUUCGCCCAAGCUUCUGACGUGGCCCAGCAGUGGGCUGCUGGUGUGUGGCGUCCAGUCUGGAGCCCAGUGUGUCCCAUGAUGCCUUGCACCUCCCUGCUGUGUCCCCAGACCCUUGGACCCAGGGCUCAUCCUCACUGAACAGGUCCCCAGAAAGAGUUCUUGCUUCUGCUGCAUAGAGUACGGUCUCCCGGGCCACACCCAAGAGGGACAGAGCUGGCCUUUGGUCCUGCUCGGGGAGAUCCCCGGUCUCCACCCCUGCCCCAGCAGUCUGGAGCCUCCCUGCCAUGGGCCGGGGGACAGCUCCUGCCCUGGGCCAGUGUGACACAGCCUGCAUCUCCACCCUCAGCCCCAGAUCCCGAGGGAACAGGAGCAGGAAGCCACCCUCAAGGUAGCUUUGAAGGGUGGGACCUUUGAGGCCCUGCAGGGUGGCUUCCUGCUCAGCCACCAGCCAGGGAGGUCUGAGGGCUUCUGUCCCGCUCCUGCCAGGACCCCAGGGCAGGGGGUGGCUGGAUGGUCUAGGGCUAACCAUGGGCCUUUUCCUGGUCAUCUCACCUCUGCCUCCCAGAAGCCGCACUGGCCUCUGUCCAGUCUGGAGGCAGGAAGGCUGGGGAGCUGGCUCAAGGACUGUCAAGGGCUGGGUUGUGUUCCCUCCCACUGUCACCUCAUCCUGUCGUGGGGAGCCACAGGUGUCGUCCUUGAUGGUGACCCUUGUGCCCAUGCCUCGGGCACAUCUUUGGCUCUUGCCCUGAGACAGUCACAGCUGCCCGCAGGGACACCCCCUUCCUGGUGGAGAGCUGGACACUGGCCAUUUCCGCUCCAGGCCAAUUCUGUCCCUUCCUGUCACCAGACUUGUAAAGGCGGCUGGCAUCUUUAGGGCAGGCCACCCCCCGAACAGCCCAAGGGCCUGACCCCAAGGCACUUUUCACCUGCAGCCCCACCCUGGGUGACACCCCUUGCCCCUCUUCAGGGCCAGCCCCUCCAUCCCAGGCACAGCCAUGAGCCCUGGGGUCCAGGGGCCUGACUGGCCUCGUCUCCAGCAUCUGCUUCCUACUUUGUGCUGAUGGUGACUUAGGAAAUGUCACGACUUUCAAAUAUUUAACCAAGCAACGUUUAAAAUAACCUGCAGGCGAAUGUAUGUCACCCCUUCUGAAAUGCUUUGUGGCUUGACAGCUGAUGUCCUCCACAGGAGUCCCCGGGCUCUUGGGGACGUUGUUUCUUCUCCCGGAGGAGGAGGGGAAGGACGGGAAGGAUGCUGGGGACCUCUGGCGUCUUCCUAGGAGAAAGCCCGGCAUCUUCCAGGGCAGGGACCUCGUUGAUAAGCUCUUGAGGACGUGCAGGGGCGCUCCCUGGUGGUGACAGGCAGCGACUGCGUCUGGGAGCUCUAACCUGCCUAGCAGGGGUGCAGGUCAGCCGCCGGGCGACCCGAGGUCCCUGGGCUGCUGGAUUAGCGAGGUGUUGCCCAGGUGGCCUCUGAGGUAGUCCGAGGAGCUGGUGAGUCAGUCCAAGGGCACUGAUUGGAAGCCUUGCCCUUCCUCCCUCCUUUAUUAUUUUUUUAAAAACUCUGCGGAAUAAAUCCAAUGGUUACUUUUUGGAUGAAUAAAAGGCUUUUGUUGAAUAAA